AUUGAACGCUGGCGGAAUGCUCUACACAUGCAAGUCGAACGGCAGCACGGGGGCAGCCCUGGUGGCGAGUGGCGAACGGGUGAGUAAUACAUCGGAACGUGCCCGGUCGUGGGGGAUAACGUAGCGAAAGUUACGCUAAUACCGCAUACGAUCUGAGGAUGAAAGCGGGGGACCUUCGGGCCUCGCGCGAUCGGAGCGGCCGAUGUCAGAUUAGGUAGUUGGUGGGGUAAAGGCCUACCAAGCCGACGAUCUGUAGCUGGUCUGAGAGGACGACCAGCCACACUGGGACUGAGACACGGCCCAGACUCCUACGGGAGGCAGCAGUGGGGAAUUUUGGACAAUGGGCGCAAGCCUGAUCCAGCCAUUCCGCGUGCAGGACGAAGGCCUUCGGGUUGUAAACUGCUUUUGUACGGAACGAAAAGGCUCUGGCUAAUACCUGGGGCUCAUGACGGUACCGUAAGAAUAAGCACCGGCUAACUACGUG
rnacentral:rRNA from 1 species